GAGUGAUGGCGAGCAAGCCGGCGACGAGCAGGCCGAGGACGGCGACGCUGCAGCGCUGGUGCGGCUCGCCCGCGAACCUCCACAUGGUUGUGCGGCAGCUCAUCACUGUCAAAGAAAGUGAAAAGCUAAAAGGGACGCUGGAUGGAUGGCUUUGGAUAACCGUUGCAAGAUGGGAAAAAGUCCAACCUUUGACAAGAUUUGGAUGUGGACAAGACUGUGCUUCUGACAUUUUCGUUGCGUGCGGCGAUGGCGGGGUGGGGUGGGUGAUGUUUGUGGGGGUCUCAUAUGAGCUCCACCUGCCUGGAAGGUAAGAAAGUCUAUUCGAGGCAGAUGUUGGAAUUAUCUCAAGCUGACACGCGCCCGCGGGAACGCAGGAAAAACUGCGACGGCCUCAAUGAGGACUUAGGACAUUUUUUUUCGUACCCCCCGCCUCCAUUUUGCUCCAUAGAUUGAAGGAAAGGAAAGGACCAACAAACAUUUUUGCUUAUUUUUGGGCUCUUUGGAUGGAUUUGAACACACACAAAAUAUGUUCAUAAAAAAAGUGUAGAGCAGAAAUUUUGAUUUUAGUAAGUGGCUGCCAAAAAAAAGAACAAAGUUCAAAACAUGUAGCUAAUUGUUUUUCACGUUGGCUGACUCAAAUCAAAGAGAAGACUUCCAAAAUGGACUUGGCUUGAAAUGACAAAAUUCAAAAGCAAAAUCCGUGUCAGCUGACUCACCCUGAGCCCAUUUCAGACCUUGAGACUCCAAGUUCAAAGAUGGCGGCAAAGUGGUGCAACUCCACCACGGCUCCGGCGCCAGACUCUUAAAUUGGGAUGAUGGGAUUCUAUUGCUGAGCCCAAAAUGGAAACAUUUCAUUUAAACUCUCGUUAGAGGGAGGAUAUUAGUCAUUUGAAAGUGUCGAGCAAAGCCCGAUCCCUAUCGUCCUUCCAAUUAAUUAGCUGCCGUUAUGUCUGCUUCGGCCAAAGAAAUCAGCGCUGUGAGGCGCCUUUACUUCCAAAAAAACGACAUUUUCCAUCCGGAGCAGACCCACAAAAAAGUCGGAGGAAGCCGUGAUUGAAAAAAGACGGGGAGCCUGCAUUUUGUUUUGUAAAAGAGCCCUAAAAAGGAAAAUCGGCACCCUUCAACGAGGAGGCCCACAAAAAAGUCGGCUUC